UUAACUGAAAUUUGUAUGGAGCUGCCCCGUUUGCCUACGUUUGCCGCUAGGGGCGCUGUUCCAACUGCAUACAAAAUUGAGUUA
rnacentral:pre_miRNA from 1 species